CACCCAGGACGGUGGAUCACUCGGCUCGUGGGUCGAUGAAGAACGCAGCAAAUUGCGCGUCGACAUGUGAACUGCAGGACACCAUGAACAUCGACGUUUCGAACGCACAUUGCGGUCCAUGGAUUCCGUUCCCGGGCCACGUCUGGCUGAGGGUCG
rnacentral:rRNA from 1 species